rnacentral:lncRNA from 1 species
CUCUGGGAAGUGGGGAGGAGAGGCGUGUCUGUGGGAGAAGGGUAUGUAUUGGUUCUAACCCAGUCUUGCCUCUGGUCCGUGGUCCUGAAGACUUAGGUUCUACCCCGUAAUCCUACUAACCUCCAUGUGCCCCUCCUAGCUCUCCCAGGAAGCCCUGAGCGCAGGGAAAUGGGAGAGACCCUCCCUGAGGAACCAGGUGAGUGCAGCUCCCCUCUGUGGGCUCAGUGACACCCUGCCGUGUGCGUCAAGAGGCGGCUUGCCGUGUGCGUCAAGAAGCGGCUUGCCGUGUGCAUCAAGAGGCGGCUUGUGAGCACAGGAGAGGGAGGGGGCAGUGGGAGGAGGGCAGGGGCUCAAAUCUCUUGGUCAGUUCUGAGACUAACUCCUGGGCCUGAAGAGGACCUCACUGGGGAUGAGGAGAUGAAUACCUAUCCUAGAUAGAGAGACAAUGGCCCUGUCUGAGUUUCUGGGGCUAGAACUUCUAGGGGUAUUUCCAGAGCAGGACAUCAGAGAUAUUUAGGUCUUUCUGUGGAGCUUUGGAAGAGCUGGCACAGGGUGGGGGUUAGAUGUUGUAAGACUAAGGCAAAUAGAAUUAAAGAGAGAAAACUCUAGAGGAAAGGGGAAAGAGGCCAAGGG